GAUGAACGCUGGCGGCGUGCUUAACACAUGCAAGUCGAACGGUGAACGAGGGAGCUUGCUCCCUCCGGAUCAGUGGCGAACGGGUGGGUAACACGUGAGCAAUCUGCCCCGAACUCUGGGAUAAGCGCUGGAAACGGCGUCUAAUACCGGAUACGACGCGCGAAGGCAUCUUCUGCGCGUGGAAAGAAUUUCGGUUCGGGAUGAGCUCGCGGCCUAUCAGCUAGUUGGUGAGGUAACGGCUCACCAAGGCGGCGACGGGUAGCCGGCCUGAGAGGGUAACCGGCCACACUGGGACUGGGACACGGCCCAGACUCCUACGGGAGGCAGCAGUGGGGAAUAUUGCACAAUGGGCGCAAGCCUGAUGCAGUAACGCCGCGUGAGGGACGACGGCCUUCGGGUUGUAAGCCUCUUUUAGUAGGGAAGAAGCGAAAGUGACGGUACCUGCAGAAAAAGCACCGGCUAACUACGUGCCAGCCGCCGCGGUAAAAC
rnacentral:rRNA from 1 species